rnacentral:rRNA from 1 species
CGGGUGAGUAACACGUGGGAAAUCUGCCUAGGAGUGGGGGAUAACAUUCGGAAACGGAUGCUAAUACCGCAUAUCUUUCUGAACCGCAUGGUUCUUAAACGAAAGACGGCUUCGGCUGUCGCUCUUAGAUGAUCCCGCGGCGUAUUAGUUAGUUGGUGGGGUAAAGGCCUACCAAGACAAUGAUACGUAGCCGACCUGAGAGGGUGAUCGGCCACACUGGGACUGAGACACGGCCCAGACUCCUACGGGAGGCAGCAGUAGGGAAUCUUCCACAAUGGGUGCAAACCUGAUGGAGCAAUGCCGCGUGAAUGAAGAAGGUCUUCGGAUCGUAAAGUUCUGUUGUUAGAGAAGAAUAAGUCAAGGAGUAACUGUCUUGACUUUGACGGUACCUAACCAGAAAGUCACGGCUAACUACGUGCCAGCAGCCGCGGUAAUACGUAGGGGGCUAGCGUUAUCCGGAUUUACUGGGCGUAAAGGGAGCGCAGGCGGUUGGAAUAGUCUGAUGUGAAAGCCCACGGCUUAACCGUGGAAGGUCAUUGGAAACUGUCCAACUUGAAUACAGAAGAGGUAAGUGGAAUUCCAAGUGUAGCGGUGAAAUGCGUAGAUAUUUGGAGGAACACCAGUGGCGAAGGCGACUUACUGGUCUGUAAUUGACGCUGAGGCUCGAAAGCGUGGGUAGCAAACAGGAUUAGAUACCCUGGUAGUCCACGCCGUAAACGAUGAGUGCUAAGUGUUAGGGGGUUUCCGCCCCUUAGUGCUGGAGUUAACGCAU